UACAGAGGGGGCAAGCGUUAUUCGGAAUUAUUGGGCGUAAAGGGCGCGUAGGCGGCUUGGCAAGUGGAAGGUGAAAUCCCUCGGCUUAACCGAGGAACUGCCCUCCAAACUGCUUGGCUUGAGACCGGGAGAGGUGAGUGGAAUUCCCAGUGUAGCGGUGAAAUGCGUAGAUAUCAAGAGGAACACCAGUGGCGAAGGCGAGUCCCUGGACAACACCUGACACUGAGGAGCGAAAGCGUGGGGAGCGAACAGG
rnacentral:rRNA from 1 species